rnacentral:rRNA from 1 species
UACGUAGGGUGCGAGCGUUGUCCGGAAUUAUUGGGCGUAAAGAGCUUGUAGGCGGUUUGUCGCGUCUGCUGUGAAAAUCCUGGGCUCAACCCCGGACUUGCAGUGGGUACGGGCAGACUAGAGUGUGGUAGGGGAGACUGGAAUUCCUGGUGUAGCGGUGAAAUGCGCAGAUAUCAGGAGGAACACCGAUGGCGAAGGCAGGUCUCUGGGCCACUACUGACGCUGAGAAGCGAAAGCAUGGGGAGCGAACAGGAUUAGA